GCAAGUCACUAUUUUUCAGUGAGAUAAACCCUGGGACUAGUUCCCCUAGGCUGGGACUAGUUCGUUCUGUGUCCUUGGGCAUAACUCACUCCUCUGAGUAGUUUCUCUCCGUAGAACAUGGAUCUGGGAGAACUGGAUUCCCAAGAGAGCACAGCCUCCCUCUCUGUCUUCCCUUUGGACUGAGCCUGUAUCCUGCCGAAGUCAGGGAUAGAACAGCCGAGUGUAACGGAGGGAGAGCUGAGGGCGCGCAGGUGGAGCGCUGAGACUGAUCCCGACUCCGCCCUUGGCCAAUUCUGUCCACACAGCAAGCUCUGGUCCUCCGCAGCGCCCUGAGAACUCUGUUGCUGCGAAGCACAGGAAGUGGUUGGCAGGGCCCACCUUCCUCUCUUAGAUCUAUUAACUCACUGGAGAUUGAAAACAGAUCAACACUGCCAGCCUUGGAAGUAGAACUACAGGAGCCGGUCGCUUUCCACAAGGUCUCACAAGGUGACAGCGCUUUGAUGUGGACAGUUCACUCAGGGAUGUUCUAGGACAAGGAUUCAAACUCAUCUUUAUUCAUAUAAACAGAAAAAUGUGACAGCCAAGCACAUUCGAUAUUUAUCUCAGCAGACUGAAAGCCCCUUGAAGGUGGGGGCCGUGUCUGAUUUUGCCAACCACCACGUCCUCAGCAUCCAGAAGAGUCACAGCGCUCAGACCGAUGAGUGUGAAUGCCUGACCGAGGUUGCCUCUGACCGAAACAACUGUGGAGAAGCAGUUCUAUUUUUUUCUAGGUUUAUAUUCAAAAAUAUGUUCAUACUUUCUUGGAGAAGGUCAGAUCCAUUCCUGUCGUAUAUUUAGCUCCUCCGUUGCCUUGAAUAAUGACAAGAUGAUGGAGCCAAAUAUUAUGGAAUAUACUUAUCUCAUCCUGCCCCAGUUAGACUCAGCUACUGCCAAGCACUUUUUAAAGGACUGAAAUUCAUAUGAGCCAGAUAUUAAGAACGUGUUUAUUUCUUCCAAGAAAUCGAAAGAGGGAAAGUGAGAGACAACGCCAUCAAAAAGUUCUUUACACAUGAUCCACCUGCAGCUUCAGUCAGCUCUGGACCUUGGCCAUGCAUAUGUCCAGGGCCCUCAGGGAAGCCUCCGGACACGAACAUGGAACCUUGCCAUGGGGGUCAGCCUCCAGGGACAGCACAUUUUACUGCUGCGCCACAGUCCAGCCCCUCCCACUUUCUCUCUUUCUCUCUCUCUUUUGCCCCAGUGUUCCAGGCAAAACUGUCCCUCUCUUAGACAAUGCAUGAGUUCACUUGAAGAGAGAAGUGAGAAAUAAUGAACGAACAUGUGAGCGCUCAGCUGAGGUGAGGCUGGAGACGGAGCUGGGCUUGGAAGACGCUGGGCUUGAAUCCUGGCUCCUUUUUAGCUCUUGAGCCUGAAUUCCACCUGCUGUAAGGACGAGCGUGGGAGUCCUAGCUCACAGAGCUGCUGGAAACGCUGGAAGGUAGGGCACGUGAGCACACGGGUGGCAUGUGCCCGCCGCUGGCUGGGAAGCUGUCGGGUCGGAAUUUUGUCUGCCUUAGACUCUGCCGAUGACCCAGCACCUCACUCACGGGGCGGGCUCAAGUACUUGUAGAACUAAUGCACAUCCUACUGGUGAAGGAACGGUGGAUCUCAUUCUGUGCUAAUGAACGCUUCCAUGAUUUUCCCA